rnacentral:rRNA from 1 species
CACGUAGGGCGCAAGCGUUGUCCGGAAUUAUUGGGCGUAAAGAGCUCGUAGGCGGUCUGUUGCGUCCGCUGUGAAAACUCGGGGCUUAACCCCGAGCCUGCAGUGGAUACGGGCAGACUAGAGGUAGGUAGGGGAGAUUGGAAUUCCUGGUGUAGCGGUGGAAUGCGCAGAUAUCAGGAGGAACACCAAUGGCGAAGGCAGAUCUCUGGGCCGUAACUGACGCUGAGGAGCGAAAGCGUGGGGAGCGAACAGG